rnacentral:rRNA from 1 species
UACGGGGGGGGCAAGCGUUGUUCGGAAUUACUGGGCGUAAAGGGCUCGUAGGUGGCCAACUAAGUCAGACGUGAAAUCCCCAGGCUUAACCUGGGAACUGCGUCUGAUACUGGAUGGCUUGAAUUCGGGAGAGGGAUGCAGAAUUCCAGGUGUAGCGGUGAAAUGCGUAGAUAUCUGGAGGAAUACCGGUGGCGAAGGCAAUCCCCUGGGCCUGCACUGACGCUCAUGCACGAAAGCGUGGGGAGCAAACAGG